CUUGUUAGGGUUUUCUCAGUCUCCGCGGCUCCUCGCCCUUCAGCUUCUUUGGGCGAGAAGCCCUUUUUACAAUUCUUCUAUGUUCCCUGAUUUUUUUGAUUUGAUCUCUAUUCUCUCCUUUCCUCCUGUUGGAAGAUCUUAUGCUAAUUUCUUAGAUUACAGGGUCAUACAUCGCUUCUCUGAUAUUUGCUAAGCUUUUCUAUGGUUUCUGUUAGUGAAUGAUGUUGUUUUCAUCCAUUGUUUAUUUUAGCUGUGUUUAAGGAUGGCCUAAUAUUGCAAUUGUUUGCUGCUGGAUUUUGGGUGCAGCAAGGAAUCUAUCGUUAGGCCAAAUGUUUCUCCUUCCUUUAGCUCCGAAUCAUCCUUUCUAGGGUUUUCGGUGACAUGGUAGGUAAAUUGCUUCAAUUUUUUUU
rnacentral:lncRNA from 1 species